rnacentral:lncRNA from 1 species
UUAUUUUUAGCUAUUUUUAUUGAUUAUUGCUACUGAUGUUGAUUGCAUUUAUUUUUGCUAACAUAUGCAGAUUGUCGUGAUUGUAUGACAGAUUAAUACCAUUGUCUUGUGUGUGCUAGGUUUAAACGGAUGGGUGAUGCUUGGUGUAUUCUUUUGUGUCAAUCUGAACAAACAUGGAGGGACGAGCAGGCUUCAGUUCAUUGUGACUCCAUGAACGGAGUUCAACCACUCUGAAAAAGGUCAUGCUCUGUAGUAAGUUCAUUUAUGGUUGUCUGUGUUUCUAUUGAUGUAUUUGAAAUGUCUAUUAAUUGCAUAUUCAGUUGUUCGAAAAAGGGGUGGCAUUUGUGCCAUGUUAAUCAACUAGGGAAAGUAACACUUGAUCACAAGGGUAAUAAAGUUAGUAGGUGCACGUAAAGUUAUGUAGCUUCAUCAAACAAAUGUGAGCUUAGUUGUUGGUCAAUUAUGUAGCUGCUCUCCAGUGACCUUUUCAAUUCAACAUGUCAUCAGUCAAAUACACAAGGAGGACACUGAACAAAUCGGAAAGGAAGUACCAAGUUGUUAAAUCUGAUUUGAUGCUUUCAUUUCAUGGAACCCUAUAGCUUGUGAAAUAUUCAUGUGUUCUAUCUUGUUUGUUAACCUGAUGCAGCUGUCCGCCAGCAGGGCAGCGCACGCAGAAUCUGCUCGGAUGGCGCGAUGGCGGUCGUGAGUGAAGUGCACGGUGGCCUCCGG